rnacentral:rRNA from 1 species
UACGUAGGGGGCGAGCGUUGUCCGGAUUUACUGGGCGUAAAGCGCGUGUAGGCGGAAGCCUAAGUCCGAUCUGAAAGCCCCCGGCUCAACCGGGGAUCCGGACCGGAAACUGGGCUUCUUGAGGACGGCAGGGGAGUGUGGAAUUCCUGGUGUAGCGGUGAAAUGCGUAGAUAUGCGGAGGAACACCGAUGGCGAAGGCAAUCCCCUGGGCCUGCACUGACGCUCAUGCACGAAAGCGUGGGGAGCAAACAGG